UACGUAGGGGGCGAGCGUUGUCCGGAAUUAUUGGGCGUAAAGAGCGUGUAUGCGGCUUUACAGGUCCGUUGUGAAAACUCGAGGCUCAACCUCGAGACGCCGGUGGAAACCGUAAAGCUAGAGUCCGGAAGAGGAGAGUGGAAUUCCUGGUGUAGCGGUGAAAUGCGCAGAUAUCAGGAAGAACACCCGUGGCGAAGGCGGCUCUCUGGGACGUGACUGACGCUGAGACGCGAAAGCGUGGGGAGCAAACAGG
rnacentral:rRNA from 1 species